CAUUGGAUUAUUAGAUUCAUUUUUUUUUUGGAUUAGAACACAUCUCGAUGAUUGUUGUGUCUCGUGCUUUCUUUCCUGCUGCUUUGUAAAGCGCCAUGGCAUUCAUUGAGUCGUUUAAACCCAGUUGUUCUAUGAUGAUGGGUAAAGUAAACCAAGGCUAGCUGAAUACCUCGGGGAGUUGAAACAGAAGCAAGAAACCAACGACAGAUACAUGGCUGCUCUAAAAGGAGAGACUCUUACCAGGAAGCCUUACCAAAGAAUUCAACCUGCGCCAAAGCCAAAUGACACGCUCACAACCAAACCUCAGUAAUAAUGAUGACUUCUUAGAAGGAGCUAUUGUAACGGAUGCCUCUCACUCUCGAAUCUUUCUUCGAUGCAAAGAUAGCAUGUUUCUUCUUCUUGAAUCUGGCAUGCUUUGUUGUUUUUGAACUGGUGCAAGAUUCAGUCACUUCAAACAUUUUUUUUGUGACAGUGAAUAAAAAUGUAAAACCCAUGUUUUGUA